GACGAACGCUGGCGGCGUGCUUAACACAUGCAAGUCGAACGGAAAGGCCCUGCUUUUGUUGGGUGCUCGAUUGGCGAACGGGUGAGUAACACGUGAGUAACCUGCCCUUGACUUUGGGAUAACUUCAGGAAACUGGGGCUAAUACCGGAUAGGAGCUCCUGCUGCAUGGUGUGGGUUGGAAAGUUUCGGCGGUUGGGGAUGGACUCGCGGCUUAUCAGCUUGUUUGUGGGGUAGUGGCUUACCAAGGCUUUGACGGGUAGCCGGCCUGAGAGGGUGACCGGCCACAUUGGGACUGAGAUACGGACCAGACUCCUACGGGAGGCAGCAGUGGGGAAUAUUGCACAAUGGGCGGAAGCCUGAUGCAGCAACGCCGCGUGCGGGAUGACGGCCUUCGGGUUGUAAACCGCUUUCGACUGUGACGAAGAGUGAGUGGCGGUAAUGGGUAAAGAAGCAACGGCUAACUACGUG
rnacentral:rRNA from 1 species